AUUGAACGCUGGCGGCAGGCCUAACACAUGCAAGUCGAGCGGAUGAAGGGAGCUUGCUCCUGGAUUCAGCGGCGGACGGGUGAGUAAUGCCUAGGAAUCUGCCUGGUAGUGGGGGAUAACGUCCGGAAACGGGCGCUAAUACCGCAUACGUCCUGAGGUAGAAAGUGGGGGAUCUUCGGACCUCACGCUAUCAGAUGAGCCUAGGUCGGAUUAGCUAGUUGGUGGGGUAAAGGCGUACCAAGGCGACGAUCCGUAACUGGUCUGAGAGGAUGAUCAGUCACACUGGAACUGAGACACGGUCCAGACUCCUACGGGAGGCAGCAGUGGGGAAUAUUGGACAAUGGGCGAAAGCCUGAUCCAGCCAUGCCGCGUGUGUGAAGAAGGUCUUCGGAUUGUAAAGCACUUUAAGUUGGGAGGAAGGGCAGUAAGUUAAUACCUUGCUGUUUUGACGUUACCAACAGAAUAAGCACCGGCUAACUUCGUG
rnacentral:rRNA from 1 species